CUGGGACACGCUGGUCAGUAUGUAUGGGGUUUGACUUAUGUGGCUAAUGUGCUUUUACUCAAACAAGUAAUUGUUGGUUUGCUGUUGUGGUGAGCAUAUAACUCGGCAUCAAAUGUUUAAUAUGUAAUGGUUUUUAAUUCAUCUGGGUUUACUUGAACAAUAUUGGAAUUUGUGUUCCUUUCUUUGUAUUGGAAGAUUGUAAACAGAACACACUUUCCACAUAACGUAAUUAGUAUCUUAUUUUUUUAUUGUGAUCAGAAGCUAUGGGAAUAUGAGCGGUCUCUUAGCAGAGAGUAUUAUUUUACUGUUUAAUUAGACUGGAAGGGUGUCUUGAAUAUGGGAGCAGAUCUUAU